rnacentral:rRNA from 1 species
CGUGUAGGCGGUUUUAUAAGCCUGGUGUGAAAGGCCACAGCUCAACUGUGGAAACGCGCUGGGAACUGUAAGACUAGAGUUCAGGAGGGGAAGCUGGAAUUCCUGGUGUAGGGGUGAAAUCUGUAGAUAUCAGGAAGAACACCGAUGGCGAAGGCAAGCUUCUGGCCAUGGACUGACGCUGAGGCGCGAAAGCGUGGGGAGCGAACA